CAGCAGCCGCGGUAAUACGUAGGUGGCAAGCGUUGUCCGGAAUUAUUGGGCGUAAAGGGCUCGCAGGCGGUUUCUUAAGUCUGAUGUGAAAGCCCCCGGCUCAACCGGGGAGGGUCAUUGGAAACUGGGAAACUUGAGUGCAGAAGAGGAGAGUGGAAUUCCACGUGUAGCGGUGAAAUACGUAGAGAUGUGGAGGAACACCAGUGGCGAAGGCGACUCUCUGGUCUGUAACUGACGCUGAGGAGCGAAAGCGUGGGGAGCGAACAGGAUUAGAUACCCCGGUAGUCCCUGUCUCUUAUAU
rnacentral:rRNA from 1 species